rnacentral:lncRNA from 1 species
UAUGAUCUUACUAAAGAACAACAUAACUGCCAGAAUCUCCAGCAUAGCUGUUGAUGGAAGAAACUAAGAAAUAAUUUGCCAGCAAUAGAUGACAGUCAAAAGAUGACUCCAACUUUUGCAUGUUGCAUUCUUCAGUACAGAGAUUAUGAAAACUGAAAACAAUCAACAUAGCAGCUCAUUAUUCUUAUGAUUGUGUCUACUUACCGCUAAUCAGAAACAUUAUACUGUACAUUUUAUAAUGUACAUUUUGCGGGAGCCAGAGAGGAGCAGGAUCUUGAACAGGGGCAAGAGGAGCAGAAAGGAAUCCAAAGCUGAAGGAGUAAAGGGAAACAAGAUCUGUGAGAGCCACUGGUUUGGUAGAAACUUUCUGUCUGACA